rnacentral:misc_RNA from 1 species
AACGCACAUUGCGCUCCGUGGUAUUCCGCGGAGCAUGCCCGUUUGAGAAUCAUUGAAAUCAUCGGACCGGUCUGUUCCUCUUCGGGGGUCCAGGCUGGGACGGAUUUGGGUCCGUUUGUUCCCAGGGGCAGCCUUCGGGAUGCUCUGAACAAUGACCUUAAAUUCAAUGUCCACGGUGUCAUCUAAAGUGAAAGAUGCCGGUGUUGGAGUGUUACAACGUUCUACUCUGUAGAUUCGAAGGUCUCUCCAGCUUUUGCCGGUGUCGUUUUGAGUAGCUUGGGUGGUCUCUGCUGUGUUGAACUAAGCGUGUUUUGGGGUUCGGAUUCGGGGGGAUCCGACCGUAAAGCGUGCACCUUCAGUGGGCGGUCUCCUUUGGAGGGUUGCUCAUCAACUUGGUCUCAAAUCGGGUAGGAAAACCCGCUGAACUUAA